rnacentral:rRNA from 1 species
CCUACGGGAGGCAGCAGUGAGGAAUAUUGGUCAAUGGACGCAAGUCUGAACCAGCCAUGCCGCGUGCAGGAAGACGGCUCUAUGAGUUGUAAACUGCUUUUGUACGAGGGUAAACGAAGAUACGCGUAUCUGUCUGAAAGUCUCGUACGAAUAAGGAUCGGCUAACUCCGUGCCAGCAGCCGCGGUAAUACGGAGGAUUCAAGCGUUAUCCGGAUUUAUUGGGUUUAAAGGGUGCGUAGGCGGUCGGUUAAGUUAGAGGUGAAAUUCCGAGGCUCAACUUCGGAAUUGCCUCUGAUACUGUUCGGCUAGAGAGAAGUAGCGGUAGGCGGAAUGUAUGGUGUAGCGGUGAAAUGCUUAGAGAUCAUACGGAACACCGGUUGCGAAGGCGGCUUACCAAGCAACUUCUGACGUUGAGGCACGAAAGCGUGGGGAGCAAACAGGAUUAGAUACCCGUGUAGUC